AAAGGACAGAGUUUCACCUCAGUCCAGCCAGCUGCAGUAUAAGAAGAGAAAAAUUAUUGGUGGCAGUAAAAUACACCUCCAGCAGGAACACUGGGACACAGAAAAUCUGUCAGCAUCGACGGUUAUCCCAAUCCCGUUCCACUGGAGGUCGCUCUGUUAAUUCGAGCAAAUCAAGGCCCCAGGGUUCCCGAGAUCAUCCAGCUUCUGGACUGGCAGGAGGAGCCUGACCGCUGCAUGAUGGCUUUCCCCCCCGUUUUUCUUCACAGAAUGCUGCAAUUUUGUUUGCUGUUGUCUGCAGAUCGACCCAAAGCAGCGGAUUGAACUGGAGAAACUCAGUCUCCACAACUGGUUUAUGACUGCAGACAUGGACAAUAAUAAUGACAAGAGGACAGUUAUUGACAUCAGUUCAUGCAGCUAUGAAAUCGGCGUUCGGCUGAGUGUAAGGUUUGGGACUGUUUAUGCAGCGACCCGUUUGAAAGAUGGCCUUCAGGUAGCAGUUUUCAUUACUUGCAAUAUCUAGAUAAUGAUUUUUGUCUUGCAUUGUACUUGUCUUAGAGUGUCUCAUAUCCACCAUUGAGAGCGUUUGACCUGUCAGAUCUGUUUAAAUGGUCAGACGUGCUUUACAAAUUUUUAUUUAAAAACAAAAAUGUAUAUCUCAAUUCAGGGUUAAUGAUUGAAAUACAUGAACUCUGA